rnacentral:rRNA from 1 species
UCUGGCAUCUAUAUCCUGCAAUUCUCGCCUGAUUUCCCACUGAAGUUAAGCAGUGUUGAGCCUGGCUAGUACCUGGAUGUGAGACCACCUGGGGAAAACUAAGGUUGCUGCUGGAA